rnacentral:lncRNA from 1 species
GCAACGGGCUGCUUCAGGCCUAGCCUCCCCCCUACACUAAGAAACCCUCAUUUCCGCAUCUGGUCGCCUAGCAACGAGUGGCUGCCUCAGGCCUAGCGCCUCUCCUUGCCAUUCAGAAGCAUGGCAAGCAUUGCAGAUUUGGCACCAACUUUAACUGCCAUGGCUUCUCGCUAUGGAAAACUGACAGGGAAGUGCCUGUAAAACUACAGCUCCCAGGCUUGCAUAGAAUUGCUGUCUAUGCGUAGCUCUGAGAAGUGCAUCACAAUGGCCACAAUGGGCAGGCUGGGCUCUCCAGGCCAAUGGAGACUCCACCAAAGACAACAGAAUUGCUGCAAGGAAAAGAACAACCCAGGAGAUGAAAGAUCCACCCAGAGGAAAAGGGUUCUUACCAUACAUCAAGGGAACCACCAACCACAUAGGGAAGCUGAUGAAGAAACACAACCUACAAAACUAUCUACAGACCUACUAAGAAAAUCCAACAAUUCUACCUAACUUGAUACCUCAGAGCCUUUGACUACCGCCAUCAUGACCCACGCGAAGUCUCGAAAUCUUAAAAAGAGUGUAUAUGCCAUGAAUGCUCCUGAUCCAUACAAAUAUGGUGGUCCCAACACGUUGCGUUCGCAUAGCCAUGUGAUGCCAAGGGUCCCCCCUUGCGUCGUGGGGAAAGCAGCUGGAAUUCAAGAAACAAGAUCAUCCACCAAAAUCGCAAGCAAUCUCAUAGCAGAAGGAAAGACACAUGCCAGCAAAUUUUUUCCGGCAUCCUUAGGUAACGAGAACUAUUCUUCGGGUAUGUUUAAAACUCUGCAAAAGGAAAAUCUACAACUAACAGAUUGCCUGAAGGAAAAGGAUUCAAUAAUAACCAAAUUGAUGAGAAUAAUUGAAGAACAGGCUACCAAGUAUAAUACAGCAAUUGCACUGGAAAAAGAGCAUCAGAAAGAGACUGAAAGACGACUGGAGGAAUCAGAGAAUUUAAUUAAGGAUCAGAUCCAGCUGCUUGAUGAAACGAUAAGACAUUAUACAAAAAUCAUUCAAGAACAAUACACUCAGCAUGCAGAGCUGGUGUCUGAAAUGAAAAAGCAGAAUGAGGCCGAUAUAAAGUGCAGGGAAGAAAAGAUUGCCAAGCUAAAGGAAUACAUUUCUGAGACCUUCCAAGAAAAAUCCCGUGAACAUCAACAACAGAUCGAUGAACUGAUGCGAGAAAUAAGUAAAUUCACUCAGAAAUCACAAAUUCUUAAAACUUGAAAAGGAACCACAUCAAAAAAG